rnacentral:ribozyme from 13 species
AAAUAAAAAAGCACAGAGAAGAAAAGGAAGCCCUUGGAGGGAGGUGGACUUUAUCUCAUUUCUCUCUUUCUCUCUCUUCUCUCUUCACUUAUCGAGUUUUUACUGCUCUGUCUCUCUCUUCUUCUUUCUUUCUCUUUGAUAGAAAUUCUCUUCGCUUCAGAGAUAUUUGCAUUUUUCUUUUUUAAUUCAAGAUUUCAAAAAUCAAGAAGAGGAAAAAAAAAAGUUGUUU